AAAGGCUCGAGGCAGAUACUGCAAGCAUCCUCGAACGCCUCGUCAAUAGCAGCUUCAGAAGAAGAACAACCACCAGUAUCAGCAGCAGCCGAAAUGAUCGGGUCGUCCGAUAAUGAGGAGGAAGAGGAAGUAAAAUUCGCCAUCGGAGAGGUUCAGAGUUGAUGGAGAAGGAAGAGAGGAAUGAAGGGAGCUUGUUAGGCAGGAGUGGAAGAGGAGAAGCAGAAAGGAACCCUAGAAAAAGUAUUAGGGGUGAAGUAAAUGGUCAAAGAAAAGAA
rnacentral:misc_RNA from 1 species